rnacentral:rRNA from 1 species
AUGUCGGCCAUCCUGCGGUCGAGGGGUUGGAUAAGAGCAAGCCCUCGACGCUCUCUCUCUCGCCGAAACCCUAGUCCCUCAGUUUUCCCCUCCCUCGCAUCUCACACACAAUCCCGAGAUUGCCCGAGCGAAACCAUGGCCGCGUCGUCGUCAACCUCGUGUGCCGGAGCCUCUCCGAGCUUCCCGGUGAUGAUCAGGAGCUUCACCGUCGUCUUUUGCUUCGCCUACGUACGUCGAAUCGAGAAGGGCGGCCUUGUAUGCUCGUCACCGCCGUCAUCUUCUCCGCCACAGUCGUCGACCCCGUCGUCGAUUCGCGCCUCUCCGGUUCAUCCCCGACCAGCUCGAUCUCGCCUAAAGAACCAUAACCCCGAGACCGGCGCUGAUGCCACUGAGUACGACUACAUCCCCGACGAACCCUUCUUCCCAAAGCAACCAGGAGUCAGAGGAUCCCGAGGAUGA